CAUCUAGAAAAAUGAAAAAAACGUAAAAACACUCGGACUGUAACUCCUCUCAUCUCACUAAAAUCCUAAAGGGCCUAAACCCUCGUGACUCCUCCAUCUCUCAAAUUCAUCUCCAAAAGAAUGACUCUCGCCCUCUAAAAUUUUCUCUCAGCCUUAAAUCUCUUUAUUCAAGCUGCAAUUUCUCAGUGAUUUGAAUGGUGACUGCGCCAUAAUGAGAUUGAUGUCCUAUUCAAGACUAGAUUUAGCUAUUGCAGAAAUUGUGAAUUUACGGGAACUCGAUGGAGGAUUAGAUUUGCCAAGAAAAUUUGGUGGUCUUCCACACUCCAUGAUAGCUUUUGAAGACUAGCAUACAAGUGAAGAUGCUUGGUUGAAGACUUCAUACAAGUUAACAAGUUGAUUAUCAUUUUGGUAGGACUGUUAGGCAAAAGGUUGCCUUAUUUUUGAAGGAUUUAGUUUUUGAAAAGGUAAAGCUUUAUAUCUUUUCACUAUGGAUGUUAGUUUUUCUUUUUUCCUCAAGGGGUUGUGUAAGCAAUAUAUUGACUUAUACCAUGGUCGUACAGUAUACUAUUGAGAUGUUAAUACAAUACUUGUAAUUAAUUAUAUGUAUGAAA